CUGUCUCACGAUUUUGUCUGAUUAACCAGUGAUCAGUUACAGAAGAGGGGAAAGCAGUGACAUGGAAAGUAACGGUAGAAAAAAUGAUAAGUUCUACUUCGCAGAGAUCAGUGAGCGUUCUUCCGAGUAGGCUCAAACCGUGUUGGAGAAAAUCUACAGCAAGCACAAAUGUCCUCCCAUAAACGACGAGUCGAGGCAGAGACUUCCUUCGAUCCCUGCGGAGUUAGCUUUCGAUUUGCUCAAGAAAGCUUUUAAUUCCGGGUGAUGUCCAACCUCGACCGCUUCGUCCUCUCUAAGCUUACGAUUACUAUUUCAAGCUCUCCGGCAAAGCCUCAAGAAGAGAUAUCUGUUGUUUCUUUGAGAAUACAAAGCUAUGGUGAAUCUCUGCACAUUCUUCCUCAGCUCUUAGCUUUGAGUGAACUUGAGUUUAACAAGGCAUUCCUGGGUUAAAAUAACUGCCGAAGAGAUCCAAGGAUGGAAGGAUUUGUCUAUAGUUGCAUUUGAAGUUGCGGUUUGGGAACACUUGG